AACGAACGCUGGCGGCAGGCCUAACACAUGCAAGUCGAGCGAGGACUUCGGUCCUAGCGGCGGACGGGUGAGUAACGCGUGGGAACUUGCCCUUUGCUUCGGAAUAGCCCUGGGAAACUGGGAGUAAUACCGGAUGAGCCCUUUGGGGGAAAGAUUUAUCGGCGAAGGAUCGGCCCGCGUUGGAUUAGGUAGUUGGUGGGGUAAUGGCCUACCAAGCCGACGAUCCAUAGCUGGUUUGAGAGGAUGAUCAGCCACACUGGGACUGAGACACGGCCCAGACUCCUACGGGAGGCAGCAGUGGGGAAUCUUAGACAAUGGGGGAAACCCUGAUCUAGCCAUGCCGCGUGAGCGAUGAAGGCCUUAGGGUUGUAAAGCUCUUUCAGCUGGGAAGAUAAUGACGGUACCAGCAGAAGAAGCCCCGGCUAACUCCGUG
rnacentral:rRNA from 1 species